CAUGAAGGUGACGCAGAAGAGCUUCAAUUUCCCGCGGAAGUUCAACCUGCCCUUCUACUUCGUGUCGGCGGCAGACGGCACCAACGUGGUGAAGAUCUUCAACGACGCGAUCCAGCUGGCUGUCUCCUACAAGCAGAACUCGGGGGACUUCCUGGACGAAGUCAUGGAGGAGCUGGAGAAUAUUGGGCUGGAGAAAGCAGAGGAGGAUUCGGCUGGCAAGGAGGAGAGUGGCCCGGGAGACGGCCCCCCGCCGACCUGAGCCCAGGACUGGAAGGACCCGCUCCUGCCCCCGCGCCCUCACGCAGCCAGAGGCCACGCCUUCUGCAGAGACUCGGGGGAGCAGUGCCCCCCGUGUCGGGGCGGCAGGCGGCCCUCCCUGAAGCCGACGGCCUGACAGCUUCCACCCCCCGAGGACGGGCCACCACUGUGGGGCGCGGGGCCCCAGAGGCCCCCUCCCCUGCCCUGGGGCCGCCGGCACAAGCACCGGAGGAAGGCGCUUGCCUCGACGGAGAGAUUGAAGGACCAGCAGUGCAGCCUUGGCGUGUCUCCUUGCCCCCUCCCCAGGGGAGCGGAAAGGGUCUUGGCGGCCCCCUGGCUGGAUCGGGCCGGAGGGCCACCCCCAGGCCCACGAGAUGCUUCUCGGAAGCCCCAGGCGGGACGUACGAGGGGCAGCCCUCUCCCCCUCCGUCCAGCCCUGGUGCUGAGUGGACGUGUCCCGAAGGAGGGCCGCCGACAGGCGUCGGUAAGAGCAAACGUGCUGUACCUCGGAGCAGAAUAAACAAAGAUUUCCUGC
rnacentral:lncRNA from 1 species